rnacentral:rRNA from 1 species
GACGAACGCUGGCGGCGUGCCUAAUACAUGCAAGUCGAACGCAGUGGGGACGGGUGAGUAACCCGUGGGUAACCUCCCAUCAGAGGGGAUAACACUUGGAAACAGGUGCUAAACCGAUACUGAUGGAUGGACCCGCGGUGCAUUAGCUAGUUGGUGAGGUAACGGCUCACCAAGGCCACGAUGCAUAGCGGGCCUGAGAGGGUGAUCGGCAACACGGGGACGGAGACACGGCCCAGACUCCUACGGGAGGCAGCAGUGGGGAAUCUUGGACAAUGGGCGAAAGUCUGACCGAGCAACGCCGCGUGAGUGAAGAAGGUUGUCGGAUCGUAAAACUCUGUUGGUAGAGAAGCGGUAUCUAACCAGAAAGCCACGGCUAACUCCGUGCCAGCAGCCGCGGUAAUAC